UACGGAGGGUGCAAGCGUUAUCCGGAAUCACUGGGUUUAAAGGGUGCGUAGGCGGUGGCGUAAGUCAGUUGUGAAAUUCCCCGGCUUAACCGGCGGGACUGCGAUUGAUACUGCGUUACUUGAAUCAGGUUGAGGUAGGCGGAAUGUGACAUGGUAGCGGUGAAAUGCUUAGAUAUGUCAUAGAACACCGAUUGCGAAGGCAGCUUGCUGGACCUGUAUUGACGCUGAGGCACGAAAGCGUGGGGAGCAAACAGG
rnacentral:rRNA from 1 species